CCUGUUGUGCUAAAACAGAAAGGGGGGCAUUGGUUAUCCCCUAGUAGAAUGCUGAAAUACCAAGUGGUGUUGCUGGAGCAAGAUGAUGUUUACUUAAAAACUACUACUAUCAUUAACC